GGCCGCGGGAAUUCGAUUCAGGCCUAACACAUGCAAGUCGAGCGGUAGAGAGAAGCUUGCUUCUCUUGAGAGCGGCGGACGGGUGAGUAAUGCCUAGGAAUCUGCCUGGUAGUGGGGGAUAACGUUCGGAAACGGACGCUAAUACCGCAUACGUCCUACGGGAGAAAGCAGGGGACCUUCGGGCCUUGCGCUAUCAGAUGAGCCUAGGUCGGAUUAGCUAGUUGGUGAGGUAAUGGCUCACCAAGGCUACGAUCCGUAACUGGUCUGAGAGGAUGAUCAGUCACACUGGAACUGAGACACGGUCCAGACUCCUACGGGAGGCAGCAGUGGGGAAUAUUGGACAAUGGGCGAAAGCCUGAUC
rnacentral:rRNA from 1 species